GUAUUCCACAUCAUAACAUCAUGUAGUGCACUGGGAGUUAAAGUGUUAAUGCUCCAGUUCCAGGUACCUGUCCCAGAAGAGAAGAAGAACUACAUACCCCAGAGGACUUUGCAUUCAGAGAGGAGAUAAAAUCCCUGGCAAAGUCAUGGGACCUGGCUCUCUUUCCUUCUGCUUUUCCCAACCGCAUGUCUCACCUCAGCAUUAGAAUAAGGCCUUCAGUUUUCAGACACUCUCUCUCAUUAUAUUUGAUUUAUUAGCUCCAGUUCUAAUUAUAUUGUAUUAUAGUGUGUUAUCUUGCAUUCCGAUAUCUUAUUUAGUAAAUUAGUUUGUUUGUCCUCAGAUCAUUGCCGCUGCUUUGUUUUAGGCCCAUCUCUCUAUCCUCUUUCCUCAUCCCUUUCCGGGUAUCUGCGAAUCUGCGGGUUAUGGAACUGCGCCAAAUCAGCCCUUAAACUGUUGUCACACUUAAACACUGACACUAAUGACACACAUACACACUCAUCUACCUGCACAUGCGCAUACACACACUUGUGAGUACAACAAGGAACGCAAGGAAUGUGAAGACAGAAGAAAGUUGAGAGGGAAAUGGUCUGCUCCUUGGUGAAAUCUGUCAUGCUGCAUGAAGCCCCUGGUCAUUUUCUUGGAGUGUGUAUGACCACAUUGACAUAAAAACGCUCCUAGAUAGUUUAAGGAUAUUUCCUCUUUCUUGAAUAUUUUCAGAUGACAGAAGUUGGUCUCCAGCAAAACAGGAUCCCACAGCAUACAAAAGACUGAAAAUAAAGACUUCAGUUACUGUCUGAAAAUACAUUGGCUGGAGAAUUUAAAGAAAGUAAUUUAUACCCAAAUUAACAUUUACUUGUGAAAAACAAACAAACAAAAAACACUCACUGUGAGUGAAACCUGUUAAAUCCUGAUUAUUUCUGAUGAUUACAUCACAAGCAGUAUCUCACAAUGCUGUGCAAGAAUUUAUCGUGACAAGACCUCUGCGUGCCUUCUGCUUAUGGUUGUCAAGCCUUCUGGUCACAGCAGAACAGAGAUGUCUGUGCCUGAAACCAAUCCUGAAAACUGGUUCCUCCAUUUUCAUAUUGUUUUUCCUUUUUAUUUCUAAUAGAAAAUGAAAACAUUUUUUUCAUGUUUUCAAAAGCUAUGAGUGACCGAAGAUGGAAGGACUCACAGACAUUAUCAAGAGAGUUAUAUUUCAGUUUCCUUUGGACAGAAAAGGGAAUCUGGCUGUACCAUGCCCUGAAAUAAAAUGCUGCUUGACAG
ensembl:lncRNA